UUCGCAUUGGGUGACGAGCGGCGGACGGGUGAGUAAUGUCUGGGAAUCUGCCCGAUGGAGGGGGAUAACUACUGGAAACGGUAGCUAAUACCGCAUAACGUCUCAAGACCAAAGAGGGGGACCUUCGGGCCUCUUGCCAUCGGAUGUGCCCAGAUGGGAUUAGCUAGUAGGUGGGGUAACGGCUCACCUAGGCGACGAUCCCUAGCUGGUCUGAGAGGAUGAUCAGCCACACUGGAACUGAGACACGGUCCAGACUCCUACGGGAGGCAGCAGUGGGGAAUAUUGCACAAUGGGCGCAAGCCUGAUGCAGCCAUGCCGCGUGUAUGAAGAAGGCCUUCGGGUUGUAAAGUACUUUCAGCG
rnacentral:rRNA from 1 species